AUUGAACGCUGGCGGUAUGCCUUACACAUGCAAGUCGAACGGUAGAGGGGCAACCCUCGAGAGUGGCGAACGGGUGAGUAAUACAUCGGAACGUGCCCAGUCGUGGGGGAUAACGUAGCGAAAGCUACGCUAAUACCGCAUACGACCCGAGGGUGAAGGCGGGGGACCUGCAAGGGCCUCGCGCGAUUGGGGCGGCCGAUGGCAGAUUAGGGAGUUGGUGGGGUAAAGGCCCACCAAGCCUGCGAUCUGUAGCUGGUCUGAGAGGACGACCAGCCACACUGGGACUGAGACACGGCCCAGACUCCUACGGGAGGCAGCAGUGGGGAAUUUUGGACAAUGGGCGAAAGCCUGAUCCAGCCAUACCGCGUGCGGGAAGAAGGCCUUCGGGUUGUAAACCGCUUUUGUCAGGGAAGAAAUCUUCCGGGUUAAUACCUCGGGGGGAUGACGGUACCUGAAGAAUAAGCACCGGCUAACUACGUGCCAGCAGCCGCCGUAAGAC
rnacentral:rRNA from 1 species